CUGUCUCUUUUUAGCAGUGACAUCACUCUGCCUGGAAUUAUGAGGCUGUCUCCCCACCUGGCUGGCGGCCACUGCUUGGCCAUUCCGAAUGGAAUUCCUCUGUCUUCUAGCCCCUAGCACAGGCCUGGCCCAGCAGUGCUGCUCAGGAAAUGCCUUUGGAAUCAAAGGGAGGACUCUUCCAUGUGUUGAGGAUUUACUGUGUGCCAGGCUUGUCCCGGACACUUUAUAUGUGUUAUCUCAUUUACACGGACCAGUAAUCCUGGGAGGGAGAAGUCACUGUCCCAAUUUUACUGAGAAGCAGCAGCCUCAGUUGGGCUUUGCCUUAGGUUCACUUGUCAUAAUUGACGGCCCAGGACCCACUCCAGGGCUUGUGCUGUCAUCGUGCCAUGAUGACUUCUAGAAGCCUUGGGCUGCUCAAUCCCUCAAUACCUGGGAUCCUCAGAGACUAUAACAACUUCUAGUCCAGCUCUCAUUUCAUCCAUGAGGAAGCAGAAGCCAAGGAAGGAGAGAUGACUGACUGACGGCCCCUCUUUUCCACUUACUACUUAUCCACUUACUUUGGGGCAGGAUGAGGUCCAGUUUUACUCACCAUAGCAGCAUCCAGGUAGCCCAGUUCCUGGUCCAGGUUGGACCCUCAGUAAAUGCUUUUACAUUUUUAUUAUGAAAACAUUGAGAAAAAGUAUAAGGAUUAGUAUGACAGACAUCCAUAUACCCACCACUUAGCUCAUGAAAUAAAACACUGCUGCUUUAACUGAAGGCCCUGGGGUGCCCCUCAACAACUGCGCCCCUCCCCCCACAAAACUGAGAGUCUUCUGAAUUUGAUUCUUAUUAUUCUAUGCAGGGUUUUUUUUUUUUUUUUUUUUUUUUUUGUCUUUUUUUGUUUUUUUGUGACCACAUUCAAAGCAUAUGGAAGUUCCCAGGCUAGGGGUUGGAUCAGAGCUCCAGCUGCCGGCCUACACCAUAGCCACAGCAACACCAGAUCCAAGCCGAGUCUGAGACCUACACCACAGCUCAUGGCAAUGCCAGAUCCUUCACCCACUGAGCAAGGCCAGGGAUCGAACCCUCAUCCUCAUGGACGCUAGUCGGAUUUGUUACUGUUGAGCCACAACGGAAGCUCCGUAUGCAGUUUUUUAAUUAAGAUUUAAUUCAUAUACCAUAAAAGUGACCCUUUUUAAGUGUAUAAUUUCGUGGGUUUCCCUCUGAAAGACUGUGUGACCAUCAUCACUAUCUAAUUCCAGAAUGUUUUCAUCCCCAAAAGGAAUCUCCUACUCAUUAUCAGUCAGUCUCCUGUUCCUCUCUCCAGCUCCUGGCAGUCAUUAAUCUACUUUCUGUGUCUCUAUGGGUUUGUCUGUCUGGACAGUUAAUGUAAAUGGAAUCCUGUGUGUGGCGUCUUUCACUUACUAUGAUUUUUCGAGGGUCAUCCGUGUUGUAGUAUGGAUCAAUAUUUCAUUCCUUUUUACACCUGAAUGGUAUUCCAUUGUGUGACUACAGCACAUUUUGAUCACCCUUCAGUUGGGGGCUGUUUGGGUUAUUUCUGCUUUUUGCUCUUAUAAAUAAUUCUGUUAUGAACAAGUUUUUGUGUGGAUGUGUUUUCAGUUCUCUUGUGUAUAAGUAGACUUGCUGGGUCAUGUGGUAACUCUGUGUUUAACUUUUUGAGGAACUGCCAGAAUGUCUUCUAAAGUGGCUACACUAUUUGGCAUUCCCACCAGCAGUGUAUGAGAGUUCCAGUCUUUCCAUCCUCACCAGCACUUGUCCGUUUGAUUAUGAUCUUCCUAAUAGGUGUGAAGUGGCGUCUCGUUGUGGUUUCAAUUUGCAUUUCCCUGGUGACUAAUGAUAUUGAGCAUAUUUUCAUGUGUUUGUUGGCCAUUGGUAUAUCUCCUUUGGAGAAAUGUCUAUUAAAAUCUUUUGCCUGUUUUAAAGGCAAAAAUAUUGUUGAGUUAUAAGAAUUCUUUAUUUUAUUGCCCUUUUUAGGGCUGUGCCUACGGCAUAUGGAGGUUAGAGUGGGUGAGGGGAGUUCUUGGCAUCUAUCCCAAGACGGAUGGAACAAGAAUUUGGAGGGUGUGGUUGGCCUUAGCUUCUCCCCACCCCAGGACACAGGUGAUAAGGCAGCCCUCAAACUGAGGGCUGUCCAGAUUCCCUUCAGCAGGUAAAGGGUUAAACAAACUAUGGUGCAUCCGGACUUUGGAGCACUGCUCAGCAACAAAAAGGUACCAACUAUUGAUAUAAGGAACAGCUUGGGUUAAUCUCCAUAAUUAAUCUCUUGGGUUAAUUAUGCUGAGUGAAAAAGCCAAUCUCAAAAAGAUUACAUACCGUCUGAUUUCAUCUAGAUAACAUUUUUGAAUUGAUAGUUUUAGAAAUGAAAGACAGAUCGGAGGUUGCCAGGGGUUAAGGAUGGGAGGGAGGAGGGUCUGGCUAAAAA
rnacentral:lncRNA from 1 species